rnacentral:tRNA from 1 species
GUAUGAUCCUGCCUGGUGGUGGGUCAAGGCUUCAAACCUUGGGACGCCUAGCGGCGUAGUUGUUCGAUUCAACCUUG